AACGAACGCUGGCGGCAUGCCUAACACAUGCAAGUCGAACGAGACCUUCGGGUCUAGUGGCGCACGGGUGCGUAACGCGUGGGAACCUGCCCUUAGGUUCGGAAUAACUCCCCGAAAGGGGUGCUAAUACCGGAUAAUGUCUUCGGACCAAAGAUUUAUCGCCUUUGGAUGGGCCCGCGUUGGAUUAGCUAGUUGGUAGGGUAAAAGCCUACCAAGGCGACGAUCCAUAGCUGGUCUGAGAGGAUGAUCAGCCACACUGGGACUGAGACCCGGCCCAGACUCCUACGGGAGGCAGCAGUGGGGAAUAUUGGAGAAUGGGCGAAAGCCUGAUCCAGCAAUGCCGCGUGAAUGAUGAAGGCCUUAGGGUUGUAAAGCUCUUUUACCCGGGAUGAUAAUGACAGUACCGGGAGAAUAAGCUCCGGCUAACUCCGUG
rnacentral:rRNA from 1 species